rnacentral:rRNA from 1 species
CGGAUGCUCCAGUUGGAUGCAUGUCCUUCUGGGAAAGAUUCAUCGGUAUGGGAUGGGGUCGCGUCCUAUCAGCUUGAYGGCGGGGUAACGGCCCACCAUGGCUUCGACGGGUAGCCGGCCUGAGAGGGCGACCGGCCACAUUGGGACUGAGAUACGGCCCAGACUCCUACGGGAGGCAGCAGUGGGGAAUAUUGCACAAUGGGCGCAAGCCUGAUGCAGCGACGCCGCGUGCGGGAUGACGGCCUUCGGGUUGUAAACCGCUUUUGACUGGGAGCAAGCCCUUCGGGGUGAGUGUACCUUUCGAAUAAGCACCGGCUAACUACGUGCCAGCAGCCGCGGUAAUACGUAGGGUGCAAGCGUUAUCCGGAAUUAUUGGGCGUAAAGGGCUCGUAGGCGGUUCGUCGCGUCCGGUGUGAAAGUCCAUCGCUUAACGGUGGAUCCGCGCCGGGUACGG